CAGGGAUUUCAGAUAUGCGCCACUGUACCAGGUUAGAUGCCGUGUCUGCCAUGCUGGGCUUUGCACAUGAUGUUCAAACGCUCUAUUAGCUGAGCCACACCCUCAGCCAGCAUGUCAUUAUUUCUUUUUAAAAAUUGUACCUGAUGAGUAUGUAUGUGUGCCUGCGUAUAUGAGUGGGGCCUCUCAGAGUUCAGACGGUGCUAGAUUCCCUGGUGUGGUGGUUGUGAGCUGCUUGGCCUGGGUGCUGGGAAUUGAACUUGGGGUCUCGGAAAGAGCAGGAAGCAUCCUUAGUCCCUAGACCGUCUCUCCAGCUCCCGAAUGUCAUUAUUUCAUUAUUUCGGGACUGUCCCUUGAGAAACUUACUAUGGUAAUGAGAUAGAGUUUUGGUUUACCCUUAAGCAAGUCCCUCCCACUACUGUAGUCUGUAAUUUAGGCUCUCCGCCAACCUGCCUUCAGCGACUGGAUAACAGCUUACAUCAUCCUAUGCUGCUACCAGGUAUGGCCUGUAAAUAGGACCAGGCCACUGCAGAUCUCUCUCUCUCUCUCUCUCUCUCUCAUCCUCUCUCUCAUUCUCUCUUAUCCUCUCUCUCAUUCUCUCUAUCUUGUUCGUUCUCUUCUGGUCUCUCUGGCUGCUUGUCUCUAGCUCUCAUGUCUUUACUCCGAGCUGGUUUUUCUUUCUCCUUCCUCCAAUAAACCUCUUGCACUAGUUGCCUGGUGUAAUCUCUUUAGCAGCACACCUUGGCAAGGGCCCAACAAAGGUGCUUCCCCACUCCCACCCCACAAACGUUAUCCUAACAUUACUACGAUGUGUGUGUGUGUGUGUGUGUGUGUGUGUGUCUUUCUCUCUCCUGGUGUCUAGCCACACCGAACCCUACUAGUCCUCUCCACCUUCAACAACAAAAAGUGGAUACUUUCUGGUCCACCAAUCUUUGGAUCCAAUCCAUCACUGGCAGUUGACUAAGGAAGCAGCAAGAAGC
rnacentral:lncRNA from 1 species